rnacentral:rRNA from 1 species
UACGUAGGGUGCGAGCGUUGUCCGGAAUUACUGGGCGUAAAGAGCUCGUAGGCGGCUUGUCACGUCGUGUGUGAAAGACCGGGGCUUAACUCCGGUUCUGCAUUCGAUACGGACUAGCUAGAGUGUGGUAGGGGAGAUCGGAAUUCCUGGUGUAGCGGUGAAAUGCGCAGAUAUCAGGAGGAACACCGGUGGCGAAGGCGGAUCUCUGGGCCAUUACUGACGCUGAGGAGCGAAAGCGUGGGGAGCGAACAGG